rnacentral:rRNA from 1 species
CAAAUUUGAAAUCUGGCUUCGGCCCGAGUUGUAAUUUGCAGAGGAUGUUUCUGGCGCGGUGCCUUCCGAGUUCCCUGGAACGGGACGCCAUAGAGGGUGAGAGCCCCGUAUGGUUGGAUACCAAGCCUGUGUGAAACUCCUUCGACGAGUCGAGUAGUUUGGGAAUGCUGCUCAAAAUGGGAGGUAAAUCUCUUCUAAAGCUAAAUACCGGCCAGAGACCGAUAGCGCACAAGUAGAGUGAUCGAAAGAUGAAAAGCACCUUGAAAAGGGGGUUAAACAGUACGUGAAAUUGUUGAAAGGGAAGCGCUCAUGACCAGACUUGUGCUGGGCAGCUCAUCCGGGGUUCUCCCCGGUGCACUCUGCCCAGUUCAGGCCAGCAUCGAUUUUUGCUGGGGGAUAAGAACGGUAGGAACGUGGCCCUCCUUCGGGUGGGUGUUAUAGCCUACCGUACGAUACCCUGGCGGAGAUCGAGGUUCGCGCAUCUGCAAGGAUGCUGGCGUAAUGGUCAUCAGCGACCCGUCUUGAAACACGGACCAAGGAGUCGUCCAUUAGAGCGAGCGUUUGGGUGUAAAACCCGCACGCGUAAUGAAAGUGAAAUUAGGUGAGAGCUUCGGCGCAUCAUCGACCGAUCCUGAUGUUCUCGGAUGGAUUUGAGUAAGAGUUUUAACGGACGGACCCGAAAGACAGUGAACUAUGCUUGUAUAGGGUGAAGCCAGAGGAAACUCUGGUGGAGGCUCGCAGCGGUUCUGACGUGCAAAUCGAUCGUCAAAUAUGAGCAUGGGGGCGAAAGACUAAUCGAACUGUCUAGUAGCUGGUUACCGCCGAAGUUUCCCUCAGGAUAGCAGUGUUGACCUUCAGUUUUAUGAGGUAAAGCGAAUGAUU